GCUCUUAUAGUGUAAGUGAUUAACAUAUCCAACUGGAAAUUGGUAGGUCCGUGAUUCGAAUCUCGGCAAAGGCA
rnacentral:tRNA from 1 species